UUAUGCAAUGUGACUCAAUUAGUUGAGAAGAUGAGUAGUCAACCAACUGCUAAAACAAGUCGCCAGGUUAAACCACAACCAAACAAAGAACAAGAGUUGUACGAGCACGUCGAGAUGCAGGAACAACAAUCUCAUUACAUGACAAUCAAUCGUCCUAACCGCGUUGAAGUUGAGGACAAAUCCCAACUAGCCGGUCAAAUCUCCACUAAAAUCAAGAGGGGGAAAUGUGUUGUGAUUGCAUUGAUUGCAGUAUUUCUAGUCAUUGCUCUAGUAGUGUCUCUGGUGGCAGUCAUCAUAUACAGUCCUCUGGUCAGCGGUGGAGACACUGGGAAUAUAUUGUCGAGGAUUCAACAGUUGGAAGAAACAAACACUGCUAAAGAAUCCCAGAUAGCCAGUAUGCAGAACUUAAUACAGAUCUCAACUUUGGCACAGAACAACCUUCGUCAAGAUUUGGACCGUCUCCACACAGUCAACCUCUAUAAGGACUGUAUCCAGGAGACCAGCACUUGUCAUUUGGCAACAUUAAGCAAUUAUUGGAUCGCCUGCAACACUGGUUUUGUAUCCAUCAAUCCUAGAGACACACAGUACUUCACAUCCAGCAUAGUGUGUGAUUUGUCCAGUUCCAACUACCUCGUGUCAACCUCAUACUACAAGAAUGGAAACAGUAUUCGCUGUGACUGUGAAGUUACCAAUCCCAUUAGUACUGGUCACAGUACAUUCUCGUACAGUAGUGCCGUAUGCACACUGACUGUCACCAAGUGUCCUUAUACUCAAAACCUCCUGAACUGAAUUGACUUUAAUAAUACGAAUUUGCUGAAACAGAACUGAGACAUUGUGUGUAGUUAAUAGAAUGAGUAGCUACAUGGUGUUUAUAAUGAUAUCUGUUACCCUCUAGCUUAAAAUUAGGUGUAUAUAUACUUUAAUUUUUUAUCGUCGGAUUACUGUA